rnacentral:rRNA from 1 species
UACGUAGGUGGCGAGCGUUGUCCGGAUUUACUGGGCGUAAAGAGCGCGCAGGCGGUCGUGCAAGUCGCGUGUGAAAGCCCCCGGCUCAACUGGGGAGGGUCACGCGAUACUGCUCGACUCGAAGGCAGGAGAGGGAAGUGGAACUCCCGGUGUAGUGGUGAAAUGCGCAGAUAUCAGGAGGAACACCGAUGGCGAAGGCAGGUCACUGGGCCGCAACUGACGCUGAGGAGCGAAAGCAUGGGGAGCGAACAGG